rnacentral:rRNA from 1 species
UGAGGAAUAUUGGUCAAUGGGCGAGAGCCUGAACCAGCCAAGUCGCGUGAAGGAAGACUGCCUUAUGGGUUGUAAACUUCUUUUAUACAGGAAUAAAAAGGCUUACGUGUAGGCCAUUGCAAGUACUGUAUGAAUAAGCAUCGGCUAACUCCGUGCCAGCAGCCGCGGUAAUACGGAGGAUGCGAGCGUUAUCCGGAUUUAUUGGGUUUAAAGGGUGCGCAGGCGGGCUUUUAAGUCAGCGGUGAAAUCUGGACGCUUAACGUCCAAACUGCCGUUGAAACUGGGAGUCUUGAGUAUGGAUGAAGUAGGCGGAAUUCGUUGUGUAGCGGUGACAUGCAUAGAUAUAACGAGGAACUCCGAUUGCGUAGGCAGCUUACUAAGCCAUAACUGACGCUCAUGCACGAAAGCGUGGGGAUCAAACAGGAUUAGAUACCCUGGUAGUCCACGCCGUAAACGAUGAUUACUAGUUGUAUGCGAUAUGAUAGUAUGUGACUAAGCGAAAGCGAUAAGUAAUCCACCUGGGGAGUACGCCGGCAACGGUGAAACUUAAAUGAAUUGACGGGGGUCAUAGCUG